CGAAACACAAACUUGUGUGUUUAAAUUUUAAGUAAGCCACACACGGUAGCGCAUUCCAGUCACCUCAGCACUCAGGAGGCUGAGGCAGGGGUGAGGCCAGCCUGGGCUACACAAAAAACCCUGUGCACAGCCCCCAUCCCUCAAUUUUUAAGUAAAUAAAUAACAGAACUAGCUUUGGUGCCUGUCCCUCCAAUGUGAGCCUUCCAGCUUCCAACCCGCGGGGCCCUGGACCAUGCCCUGAUCCUCCUGGCCUUACUCAGCAAGGUCAGGCUGAGCUCUGCUCUCAGACUUUGCCCCAUCAUUCCACUGGAAAAGCUGUUCUUUCCCUGAGCCCCUGAACACAAUCCAGUGCCUGAGCACUGAGUUACUUCUUCACACAUAAAAUACAACAGGACGCUGGGUGAGGACCGGGCCUCUUAGCUGUGUCUUCUCAGCUCCGCAACGCUACGUCAGUUGGCCCGCAUGAGUCUUGACUGCGUAUCUAUUAAGUGUCUACUGUCAUUUCCUCACGGGCCCUAGCAGGGAGGUGAGAGGCUCUUAGGGCCUUUAAAAGUCAAGGUCUUGGGGGCUGGAGAGAUGGCUCAGAGGUUAAGAGCACUGACUGCCCUUUGAGAGGUCCUGAGUUCAAUUCCCAGCAACCGCAUGGUGACUCAAAACCAUCUGUAAUGAGUUCUGGUGCCCUCUUCUGGCAUGCGGGGAUAUAUGCAGGCAAAACACCAUAUACAUAAUAAAUAAAUCUUUAAAAAAAAGAAAAAAAAAUUAAAAACAACAACAAAAAAAAAACCUCAAGGCCUCCUGGAAAGCUGAGCGAACAAGAACUACAGUGAACUACAGGAACUAAAGGAACUACAGUGAACAGAAGGAUGCUAUGGCUGUCCACUGCAUAGGUCUGUCAUCAAGGCACUGGAGGACUUCUAACUGUAAAUAUCGUUCGGAUGUCAUUGGGCUCAGUCACCCAGAGCUGGAUCAGCAGGACAAGGUCAAUCAGAUCUGCCAUUUCCUUUCUAGUACCUUCUAUAUUUCACCAACUCUAAGGCAGAGCAAUUAUAAGAUACAUCAAUUUUGAAUCACAAGGAUUUUUUUACUGUUUUUUAACUAUUUUUUUUGAAACAUGGUCUUAAUAUGUAGUACUAGCCGUAGCAUAACUCACUAUAUAGACCCCAAACUAGCCUCAAACUCACAGAGACCUGCCUAUCUCUGCCUCCCAAAUGCUAUGAUUAAAGGCAUAAGCGAUCACAUCUGGUUAUUUUUCAAUGUCUUAUAUUGCAUUUAUUGAUGGGGAUGUGGCAUGCAUGUGGAGGUCAGAGGGCAGCUUGGAAGACCCAGCUCUACCCCUCCACCAUGGGGAUCUACGGAGCUGAACUAAGGAUAGCAGACUUGACAGCAAGCACGUUUUCUCACUGGGCCACCUCGCAAGCUCUCACGUGGAUUUUUACAGAAUGCGCGGGGUCAGACAUAGUGGCCUUCAGUCCCAGCACUCAGGAGGCAGAGGUUGAUCUCUGAGGUUGAGGCCAGCCUGGUCUACAGAGUGAGCUCCAGGACUGCCAGGACUACAUGAAGACCCUGUCUCAGAAAACAAGACAGUACGGUUAGAAGUAUGGUUACACGCCCCAUCACGACAGGUGGCUGUAACAGGAUUAAGUUUUCUCCACGCUAUCUCAACCAUCUUUGAUUUCUACCCUCUGCCCUGAAAAGUCCUGUAGAAAAACACCCUACCUCGUUCCACAAACUCAGGGUCACAAUGAUCCAGCUCAUUGCAUAUUCUUGGCUCCUGUUAGAUUUCUUGCUUGCUUCCCCCUGCAACUGCCAACCAGGAUGUGGUUUAUUUAUGUUCUUUGUCUCUGAAAUCUCGUAAAACAUGCAUGCAGGCCUGCUCCGAGAGAAGUCUUUCUCCUAGGCAGUCGCGGGCUGGCUUAAUAGAGACUCUCAAGUCUAUCUUUGGUCAUGCCACAUGGUCUAUGGGUUUUCAUCCCAUACAGUAGUCAAAAGAUGUUAUUUCCUUUUUCACACACACACACACACACACACACACACACACACACACACACACACACACACACACAUCUAUAUAUAUACCACCCUUAAAGCUGUGCCACCUGGUAGCUCAGAACCAUCUGUAACUCCAGCUCCAUGGCAUGCAGUGCCCUCGUGUGGUCUCUGAAGGUACUACAUGUAUGCAGUAUACAUUCAGACAUGCAGGCAAAAAAAAAAAUACUCAAACACAUAAGAUAAAAACAAUAAGUCAGAAAGGAAGGAAGGAAGGAAGGAAGGAAGGAAGGAAGGAAGGAAGGAAGGAAGGAAGGAAGGAAGGAAGGAAGGAAGGAAGGAAGGAAGGAAGGCAGGCAGGAAGGCAGGAAGGAAGGAAGAGAACAAUGCUUCGGGAAGGUUUAAUAAUAGGUUUUGCAAAGGGAGCUGUUUAGAACCUUCAAGGGAAGGUCUUCCAAUGACUUCUCAUUCCUGUCUAUAACUGAGGGCUCAGCUUGUGUCUAUAGGAUUCAGGACUCAAGCUGACCUGAUGCAAUCAGUGUCAGAAUAUUAUUUUCUAUCUUAGUGUCAUGAUCAAUCAUCUUGACAUGCUGAUUUUCUUCUUUAAGUCAUAUUUAAGAGAUGUUUGGUGAAGCACUGGCUUUCAAUACCCUCCCCCCUUCUCAGCCAAAAACAAAAAUAAAAAAAAGCAUGCAUCUAACCCUAGAGGAUCAUCUGCCUUCAUUUCUUAUUCCCUUUCUGUUGUCAAUGAUGUUUUGUUUUUUUCAAGACAGGGUUUCUCUGUGUACCCCUGACUGCCUUUGUAAACCAGACUGGCCUCGACCUCAAGAGAUCCGCCUGCCUCUGCC